GUCGUGAGAUGUUGGGUUAAGUCCCGCAACGAGCGCAACCCUCGUUCCAUGUUGCCAGCACGUUAUGGUGGGGACUCAUGGGAGACUGCCGGGGUCAACUCGGAGGAAGGUGGGGAUGACGUCAAAUCAUCAUGCCCCUUAUGUCUUGGGCUUCACGCAUGCUACAAUGGCCAGUACAAAGGGCUGCGAGACCGUAAGGUGGAGCGAAUCCCAAAAAGCUGGUCUCAGUUCGGAUCGGGGUCUGCAACUCGACCCCGUGAAGUCGGAGUCGCUAGUAAUCGCAGAUCAGCAUCGCUGCGGUGAAUACGUUCCCGGGCCUUGUACACACCGCCCGUCACGUCACGAAAGUCGGUAACACCCGAAGCCGGUGGCCUAACCCCUUGUGGGAGGGAGCUGUCGAAGGUGGGACUGGCGAUUGGGACGAAGUCGUAACAAGGUAGCCGUACCGGAAGGUGCGGCUGGAUCACCUCCUUUCUAAGGAGCACUUGGCGCCUCGUGGUCCUGCCGGUUGUGGUGGGGUGGGGUGUCCAGGGUUGGCCCGUGCUGCUCGUUGGUGGUGGUGGGGCUGCUCGAGGGUGGAACGUCGGCAUAGGCUCUGGGUCCUGGGUUGGGGUUCGUUAGUACUGCUGGCGUGUGCUGGUGUGGAACGCGGGUUCUGGUGUGGGGUGUGGGGUUGUGGCACGCUGUUGGGUCCUGAGGGAACAGGCUGCCUGUUGGUGGUGGGUUGUUUCGUCUGGGUCGUCUGGGCUGGCUCUUCCAUAGACUGCUCUGCUGGUCGGGGUGGGUGUGGGGUGUGGGGUCGGGUCUGGUUGUUGCUUGAGAACUGUACAGUGGACGCGAGCAUCUUUUAGUGUUCUGCGGAUGGCCGCUCGCAUGGCUGGCUCCUUUGGGGGUUGGGUGUGUGGGUGUGUUGUCGAGUUGUGGGUGUGUAAGUUUGUAAGGGCAUACGGUGGAUGCCUUGGCACCAGGAGCCGAUGAAGGACGUAGGAGCCUGCGAUAAGCCUCGAGGAGCUGGCAACCGAGCUGUGAUUCGAGGAUGU
rnacentral:sRNA from 1 species